GUCCAUGAAGCUGCCGGAGCCCUGUUCUCUUGCCUGGGAGAUCCCCAGCACAGAGUGCCUGUGCCCCAUGUUAUAAAUUGCCCCCUUAAUUAAUUUUCAGAGAGCAUUGUAUUAAUCAUAGAAAUGAAUUUAUUGAGUAAGCAAACAGCAAGCAAAACAGCGCUGGGUGGCCGGGGAGUCUCGGCUCCGCCAACAGCGCGUACCUCAACCCCGCCAGGGUCCCUUUUUAUAUCUUGGUAAUUCCAGGAUUACGCAGCACAUCCUGGUAUAUUCUGCGACUGCGCGCGCUAUUGCUAGGGGGUCGUCUCUGUCCCUCUGGUGGUUGUGAAGAUGAAGGCCGUAGUCUUCCUCGGCGUUGUGGUUCAACUUCUUUUUUUUUUUUUUUUAUUUGAUCAUGUUGGCCCAGCUUGAGACAGGAAGGCAGGAUGUUGAUACACUAGGUUAGCAACUUAUCGGGAGAUAGUUACAUGAGCUUUGCAACAGUGUCAUUGAACAAAAGAGGCAACUGAGAUGCAGAAAGAGAGAAGGGGAGGGGGUUCUCUUAUUUUGUUACAUUAAGCAAAAGAAUUUUCAUAGUGUCUAGCCAAGCAUUAUACAGCUCCUUACUUCAGCAGGGAGCUUUUGCAACUCCCGCUCCUCAAACGGAACUCCUUGUUUUUAUAAUACAAAAGACAAUGAAAAAACAUUUAUGGUGUAUUACAGCCCACAGGGCCAGUCCCACUCCCCAGGCCAGCACAAGAGGUUGGUUGGAAGAGAGAAGCUUCUCUCACAAGAGAGAAGCUCCUGCCACUCUUUGACCACGAGUCCAGCCAGGUGCGGGAGCACUCCAUCUGCCUCUUCCAAGCCGUGGUGGAGGCUGUGCUGCGGCAAAGGAAGAAGAAAAUGAAGAGCACCGUGCACAGGAGCCUUCUCCCACUCUACUUUCUCAUGAGAGACCAGAGUGAGAGCGUAGCAAAGGUACAGAUCUCAGAGCUGAGCAGUUAUGUGGGCAAGGGUGUGCUGAUGCCACAGGGUUGCUCUGGGGGAUCACAGAAUUUCUAGAUUGGAAGAGACCUCAAGAUCAUCAAGUCCAGCCUCUGAUGUCUGGCUGUGAUCUCUGGGAUCUCUCU
rnacentral:lncRNA from 1 species